rnacentral:rRNA from 1 species
UCCAGACUCCUACGGGAGGCAGCAGUGGGGGAUAUUGCACAAUGGGGGGAACCCUGAUGCAGCGACGCCGCGUGGGUGAAGGAGCGUUUCGGCGCGUAAAGCCCUAUCGGCAGGGAAGAAGGAGGACGGUACCUGACUAAGAAGCCCCGGCUAACUACGUGCCAGCAGCCGCGGUAAUACGUAGGGGGCAAGCGUUAUCCGGAUUUACUGGGUGUAAAGGGGGCGCAGACGGCAGCGCAAGCCAGGAGUGAAAGCCCGGGGCCCAACCCCGGGACUGCUCUUGGAACUGCGCGGCUGGAGUGCAGGAGGGGCAGGCGGAAUUCCUGGUGUAGCGGUGAAAUGCGUAGAUAUCAGGAGGAACACCGGUGGCGAAGGCGGCCUGCUGGACUGCGACUGACGCUGAGGCUCGAAAGCGUGGGGAGCAAACAGGAUUAGAUACCCCAGUA